UCGCCCGAUGAUUCGCCUUCGCCCUACGCCGGCCCGACGCCCACGUUGCGCGGCCUGACGACGUGACGGUGCGCGGCCUGCGGAUCUGAAGCGGCGCGGAGCGGCUCCCGGCGGAAGUUGGCACAGCGGGGCAGACGGCGGCGCUCCUCCGCAGAGGUGCGCCCUCGCGCGCGACGUCGCUCGGCACUGAGGCCCUCGAGAUUGGGCACGGCGGCGCGCGGAGGCCACACGGGUCAGCUGGGGGCGCGGCCGCGCGAGUCAAUGGCAGCGGAGCGGCGGCGAAGCAGCUGCAACGUAGGCUGGCGACUGGGAGGAGACGACACACGGCCAGGCGCGCAUCGCCGGCGAGCCAAUGCAUGAUUUUCUUAGUUAAUUUGGUGCAAGGUGUGUGAAUAAUUACCCUAGAUAUUGAAAAAUGGCUGGUUAGCACAAGUAUAUAGGCUGUGUCUUUUUAUGUUGUUUAUACUACUGAGUGAAGUAUACUAGGCAUGGGUAUUGUAUGCUUUGCUUAUCAGUCUUGUUCAGUAUAUUUUUGCUCAUCUCGGUAGCUAUAAUUCUAAUGGAUUCAAGUAUGAAUAAUUAACUUGUGUUUAUCUUCCA